AAAAGCUCUCUUGAAUCUAGAUAGC
rnacentral:piRNA from 1 species